AAUACCGGUGAAGAUGCCGGUUACCCGCAGAUAGACGAAAAGACCCCGGGANNNNNNNNNNNAAGACCCCGGGAGCUUUACUAUAGCUUGGCAUUGGCCGUACGGCUUGUAUGCGUAGAAUAGGUGGCAGGAUUUGAAGUCAUGAUUUCGGUUGUGACGGAUCCAACAGUGAAAUACCACUCUUACGAUUUGUACGUUCUAACCUGUCGUGUAAAACACGGCCGGGACAGUGCUUGGUGGGUAGUUUAAGUGGGGCGCUUUCCUCUGGCAAACGAAAUUAACUUAGCCGACGGUCGGCUAAGUGGUGUUCGUUUGUCGAAGCCAAGGCGCCUCAUGAGUUACUUAGGUGUCCGACACCUAAGUGCCGAAACAAAGAAAAUAGGGGGCCCAGCCCUAGUUUUGAAUUAUUGAAUUUUCAAUGACCAAAACUAGAGCUGGAGGCAAUCAGCAAAUUGCUGGAAUAACCGGUGUAUGGUAUGCUACUUGCAGUCGAAAUAUUAGACAAGUAAUAAUGUAUACCUGCGGUCAACCAGCAGGGAAUGAGAAAAAUAUGGAGCAAGGACCAAAUCAGGGCAAAGAAGUCAAGUUAACUCUAGACAUGAUGGAAUCCGCACUAUUCUCUGCAGAAACAUGAUUGGAUGAUAUCUAUCCAAGAUUACUAGAUGAGCAGAAAGAAAAAGUGGCUGGACCGUUAAGAGAUUUGCGACGAGAUUUCGAUGACCUCAAAAAAAGACUUAUUCCCUCAGAGACUGAACGCUGAUACACUUGGCGCCUAAGGGGCCAAGUGGAAGAUACAGUCCGUACUGCAUGGCGACAUGCAGAUAACACAAUAGCCUAAAGAGUAACGGAGGAGUUCAUUAAGGUCAGCUAGGCGCGAAUGGAAACCGUGCCGAUAGUGUAUAGGCAAAAGCUGGCUUGACUGUAAGACGUGAAUGUCAAACAGGUACGAAAGUAGGACUAAGUGAACCGACCAUUGGCAUUAGAUGCCGUGGAAGAUUAUCUGACAAAAGCUACCCCGGGGAUAACAGGCUAGUUCCGCCCAAGCGUCCAUAGCGACGGCGGAGUUCGGCACCUCGAUGUCGGCUCAACUUAUCCUGGCGGUGGAGAAGCUGCCAAGGGUUUGGCUGUUCGCCAAUUAAAAAGUUACGUGAGCUGGGUUCAGACCGUUUAGGAGUUGAAUAAUCGACUUCUGAACAGUCUGAGCCCCGAGGAUAAAGACAUAAUCACGGCGGCCUCAUGCAGUAAUGCGUGGGUGCUCAAGUUGACUAUAUCGGUGGAAUCCUAUCGUUGGGUAUUAACCCAACGUAUGUUAGGAUAACACCGAGGGAAGUUAAUAGUUUAUUGCCAAAAAAACAAAUGUAAUCGGUCGAGUAUGUAGACCCAAAACUUGCCGGGUCGGCCUUUCUUGUUCCAGCGAUAUCUAAAAAACACUGUGACUGGAAUGGCAAAGAUAAUGACCCAAACAAGGACGAGAAAAAUGGUAAACAUAACGAUAAGAUUGUAGCAUAAACUAAUAACCCCGUAGAGACUAAACGUCAACCUUCCUUAAUUAAGGAAGAAGAUAUAGUCCAAUGCACAUAGUAAUAUGUGAGAAUCCCAUAGAACGGGAUGAACAUGCGUGAGACAGGUUGGUCUCCUAUCUACUGCGGGCGCGGAUUCUUGAAGGGAGUCAUCUCUAGUACGAGAGGACCGAGAUGAACUGACCUCUGGUCUACCAGUUGUUCUGCCAAGAGCAUUGCUGGGUAGCUAUGUCGGGAAUGGAUAAGCUCUGAAAGCAUCUAAGAGCGAAGCCAACCCUAAGAUUAGGAAUCAAACCCAGCUCCAGAUUUGAUUUAUUGAAAUUUCGAUAAUUCAAAUCUGGGGCUGGGGAGAGACACGUGAGAGAUGAUCACGUUGAUAGGCUUUAGGUGUAAGCCCCGUGAGGGGUUGAGCCGAGAAGUACUAAUUAGUCAA
rnacentral:ncRNA from 1 species